AUGAAGCAUGGGGGCAACAUCAACCCCCCCAUUAUCCGUAAGGCCGAUGGCGUCCCGGCACACCACCAGAAUUGUCACAUCAUGGAUGAUUUUCCAUACAGGUAUUACAUUUGCAAGACAUGUGUGGAUUGUUCAUUUUGGAUCACAUCAUUUAAGUUCAUGAAGAAACAUCCGGCGACCAGAACUCACACAGCAAGAAGUAGAAGGAGAGAAGAGAGAUCAGCCUCGACAUCUCGUCACGACAACGCCGACGAUCAUUCGUACAAGAAGCAGGCGCCUCAACAGCAACAUGAACACCAGGUCGAUCUUCCCGAAAGCACAUGGUGGCGCGGUGGAGCUCGCGAUCAUGCAGCACUUCGUUGGCGCUAUCAUCAUCUUCCUCAAGCUAACCAAGACGACGAGGCUACUCCCGGACUUCACCAAGGCGUGGGAGAUGAGGGCGUGUCGAUGGGGCUACGGGCGCGCAGCCCAUUGGCCUCCUUUGUGGUGGCUACCCUUGGUGAUGAGACCGACGACGUCUACUUCGUCAAGCUAGAGUCCCGGAGGCGCGGAGCUCGCGCGGAUGCCGCCAUCGUGCCACGGUGGAUCAUGGCGUGGACCAAGAAGAUAACACACACCCUUGGUGCCGUCCGUGACCUGGAGGAGAAGAUGGUGCGACAUGACGGUCUCCACGACCCGGAGCCCAUGAAGAUGAGGCGUGAUGGCGAGGAGGCAAUGUCAAUCAAGCAACAUGAACAUGCCCUGCUUGGCUCGGCUCGGCUCCCGGCCGUAGUUUUCAUCGGCGAAUGUGGUGUGGCUCUCGGCAGUCUCCCAGACAAAGCACCACGAGGUCGCAUGUGGUCGUGGUGGCUACGGGUGCGCGAGGGCGGCGGCGAGCUGAAACCGACCGGGAGCCACCCGGCUUUUACUCCGGCCUCUGCCAGCACCAGGCUGUAUAACAGGGCGCCGUGUGGAAAGAUCCGUUCCACAAAACCUGUGGCAGGAAUAGUUCAUGGGUGGACUUGGCGCACCUCGGAGUGGUUGAGGCUGCUCCUGCGUGAACCGGACGUGACCACCUCACUCCGUGACACACCUUUUCUUUGCCACGUAGUACACGUUAACAAGCAGAGGCUGGCGCCACCUCCAUGGUGGAUGUACACAAGCAAAGUGCCAAUGGCGACCGGCGGGCGACGGGAUUGUUCGCGCAGGGCGGCAGCGGCGGCGGCGGCGGCGGCCCAAGGCGGAUCUCGAUUCUCCGGUGAUCUAUGCCCGCCCCCCUCGAUGGGCGCGGGCGAGCCGCGGGCCGCCGCCGGCGCCGGCGCGGAGGAGGACGGGGUGGCGUUCCCGCGGGUCGAGGGAGGCGGCGGGGUGGCGUUUCCGCGGGUCGAGGGAGGCGGCGGGGUGGCGUUCCCGCGGGCAGAGGGAGGGGGCGGGGUGGGGUUCCCGCUGGCAGAGGGAGGGGGCGCGCUGGUGAAUUUGAAUCUGGCAUAUAUUUUUCUGUUGGUUAUGGAUUUGGGAUGGGAAAACGGUAGCUGCAACCUGCGUACUGGUUUUGCUGGAACCGGUGAUCGCGGCGAGCUGCAGAGCUCAAAACAGCAAAUUAGACUGGAGGGAGCUACAACCGGUUCCCAGGAUGCUACAACGGGCGCCACGGAGAGCUGGAAGCAGCCAUCCAGGAUGCUACCUGCCCAUGUUGCAGGCACCUCUGGUGAGAAUGAGGGGAGUAAGAAGGCUAAGAAGAAGAAUAAGAAGAAAGGCAAUCUAUGUGGCUUUAAGUCAAGCAAGCUUAUGGUGAAAAGGAUUUUGAACGUGCCAUCCGGUGAUAGACCCGUGAAGCUUCUAAAGAAGAGUGAUGAACAUGAUCUUCGCAGCAUCUACAAGGAGGGGAACAGGGCUCCAAUCGCCCAUGUUGUCAAGUUGCUCACUAGUUGCAGUGAGGAGGACGUGGUUAUGAUAAAUAGGACUUGGGCACUCCUUGCGUUGGCAACAGUUUUGUGCCCAGGCACGGGCAAUAUGGUGAAUCUCGAGUAUCUUGCUUCCCUGGAAGAUAUGUCUUUAGUGCAUGAAUUCGCUUGGGAUGAGCACUUGUUGGCACGAGCGAUGGAAGAGGUUGGAGUCUUUCAAGAGAAGAAGAGGAUGCAAGCAAACACAGAAAAAGAGUUUCAGAUUGCUUCAUGCCUUCCCAUGUUAGCGAUCCGGAGUUUGUGCAACACCCCCUAUGCAGCACAACUUGCGGGACAGGAAGUUGGUGCUGAAGCAGCUAGUGGGCAGGGAGUUGGUGCUGAAGCACCUAGUGGCCAAGGAACUAGUGGCCAAGGAAGCCAAGUUCAAGGUGCUGAAAAUCAAGCAAAGAACUCUCAAUCAAACGAGGCUCAACAAAAUGUUGAUGCUGAACCACACCUAUCAUCAUCGCUGAACGAUUGGCUGCAGCAAUCAUUCCCUAGCAUGCAAGAUCUAAGGGUACCAACUCAGUUUCAAAUGCUUUACGACAAGCACAAGGGUAUUUUUGCAGCGGAGGUGGAUGAUGUUGUAGGCAAGUUUGGACAGUGUUUAAAGGGAUUGCAGUGCAGCCGGAUGGCUGCCCUGCUUCGCGAUGUUGGAGACGCCAUCACAGCUACCAGUGAGCCCAACUUCUCCUUUGAAGCACCUAUCAUGGACGAAUGUCGCGGAAAAGAGAAUGAUGCUAAAGCUGCAAAUGAUGGCAUUGGUGCUCAAGCUCAAGCUAAAGUGAGUUUCGAGAUGGAAGGGAACGUCUCACCUCACAGCCCCCCACUCUUCUGUGAUGCACCCAGGAGUGCGACAACCGGCAUUUGGGACGACGAGCCAUCCUGUGAGUUGUUCCCAAAGGGCUCCAAAGACUACGAGAUGAUGCAUUGCACAAAUGAGCCUAUAAUCAAGAGCACAGUCAGCCCCAUCUUUGAAAACAUCCCUGUGUUCCCUGUUUCAAACGAUGAUGACAGCCCAACUCCUAAGAUGGACGCUACAGAAGAGCAAAUUGUUGAUGCAAGCAGUGGCCCUAGCACACAUGACAAGAACACUAGGAAGAAGAGGAUGGCCAAAAUUCCAGCCGUAAAAAAUACCAAGGCAAAGAAGCAAAAGGUCGAUGCAGCUGCAGCCACAUAUGAGAAGUAUGUAAAGCAUGGGAAACCAUUGAGGAGAUCACAAGCCAAUGAACAAGUGACACCUUUCAUCAAGAUAGGUGGAUUUUACAUUGGAUACAAGAAAUUCCUGGUAUGCUUCAAGCCUCGUGGGGAUAUGAAUGAUGAGGUUAUGUCCCUAUGUAUCGAGAUGAACAACAUGGCAUCCCGUGCAGCAAGUGGUACGAAUCGGAAGAAAUACAUGUUCUCAGUCCACGCGGGGAUCCUACUAAAACAAGACCCAACAACCUUCCAACCAGCAAAACUCAUACCCGAGCUUGAAAGGGCUGUGACAAAGUUCAAGGCGAAUAAAUAUGACCUCUGGAAUGUAUUUGACUCAAUCCAUUCAAAAGGAAAACAAUCUCCUUUGAAGAAGCAGGCAAAUAACCUGAUCACAAACUUUGCAGCCCUCGCACAAGAGUACAGCGAAUUCAAUGUCAAUGUUGGAUCCUUCGCCCGUGUUGACCUAAAGGAUUACCCAAAGCAAGAUAACCUAUGUGAUUGUGGCUUUUUCGGGCUCAAAUAUGUGGAGAACUUUAAUGGGAAGUCAAUGAAAGAGUUCAAACAGGAAGACAUGGCACGAUACCGCAUGGAUGUGGCGCACAACCUCUGCAUUCACCCAAUCAACAAUGCCCCAAUGGAGCGGGCAUUCAGGGAAGAGUUGGCGGCUUAA
rnacentral:rRNA from 1 species